UACGGAGGAUCCAAGCGUUAUCCGGAUUUAUUGGGUUUAAAGGGUGCGUAGGCGGCUUUUUAAGUCAGUGGUGAAAGCCUGCAGCUUAACUGUAGAACUGCCAUUGAUACUGAUGAGCUUGAAUAUACUUGAGGUGGGCGGAAUGUGUCAUGUAGCGGUGAAAUGCUUAGAUAUGACACAGAACACCGAUUGCGAAGGCAGCUCACUAAGGUAUGAUUGACGCUGAUGCACGAAAGCGUGGGGAGCAAACAGG
rnacentral:rRNA from 1 species